rnacentral:rRNA from 1 species
CCUACGGGUGGCAGCAGUGGGGAAUAUUGGACAAUGGGGGGAACCCUGAUCCAGCCAUGCCGCGUGUGUGAAGAAGGCCCUCGGGUUGUAAAGCACUUUCAGUGAGGAAGAACGCCUGGUGGUUAAUACCCAUCAGGAAAGACAUCACUCACAGAAGAAGCACCGGCUAACUCCGUGCCAGCAGCCGCGGUAAUACGGAGGGUGCGAGCGUUAAUCGGAAUUACUGGGCGUAAAGCGCGCGUAGGUGGCUUGAUAAGCCGGUUGUGAAAGCCCCGGGCUCAACCUGGGAACGGCAUCCGGAACUGUCAAGCUAGAGUGCAGGAGAGGAAGGUGGAAUUCCCGGUGUAGCGGUGAAAUGCGUAGAGAUCGGGAGGAAUACCAGUGGCGAAGGCGGCCUUCUGGACUGACACUGACACUGAGGUGCGAAAGCGUGGGUAGCAAACAGGAUUAGAUACCCGAGUAGUC